GAAACGCUUCACAGAAUCAUAAACCGGGUGAGGGAGUCGAGGGUGACCAGGCAGGGUGCUGCCUCACAGGCCAUGAGGGAAGCCUCUGAAGAGGUGACAGCUUGAGCUGACACCUGAAUGCCAGCCAUGGGAAGAUCUGGAAGAAGGGGAAGUGCAAAGGCCCAGGGGUGGGAAGACCUGGGGCUUUGAGGAACUGGAAGCAGCCAGUGUGAGCCAAGUGUUGGGAGGAGGGCAGAGACAGGCGGAGACAGACCUCGUGGAGCGCGGAGGCUGGGAAUGUCAUUCUAGGGUCACAGCAGGCACGGGAGGGGUGGGUACACGGAGUCCAUUAAAGUAGUCUCUUCCUUCCUUCAGCGUGUGUUCCAAAGUUUCCAGUACAAAAAAGUUGAAAAUAUAAGACAGGAAACGCGGCUGAGUCUCGCUAUCACGAUCACCAUCUCUCGGCGGCCGCGAGUAAGCCGGCGACGCCAGCCGGCAGCGGGCGGCGGGGGGCGCGUGGAAGCGGCGGAAUUCCUGCACAGCAGCCGCUUCCCGCCCCUCCCGGCCCGAGACCCCGCCGCGCGAGGACGCAGCCUCCAGCGGGACGAGCGCCCCGGGGUGCGCCGUCCGGCGGACGGAGAGGGAAACGGGGGUCGGGUGGGUCACACCAGGGAGCCGGCCCAGCCCAGCCCGGGCCGCGGGCCCACCCCGCCCCGCCCGCGCGCGCUCCUCGGACCCCGGGCUCCCGGCCGCGCCCAGGCCCAGGCCCCGCCCCGCCCCGCCCCGCCCGCGCCGGGGCUCCGAUUGGCGGAGCCGCCCGAGGGGCGCGUCCGGGAGGGUGGGCCGCGGGGAGUGGGCGGCGCCGGGCGGGGCGGGGGGGCGCGGGGCGCGGGCCGAGGAGAUCAGGAGAGCCCCGGCCGGGCUGCGGCGCGCGAGCCCGAAGGCUUCCCGCACGCCACCUCCGAGCUGCCCCGGCCGCCGCGUCGAGGUGGCCUCCGGGCUCGGGCGGGUUGGGCGCGCAGCCAGGGCUGUCUCAGACUCUGGCCCCGAGCAGCGGCGCGGAGAAGGGCGCUUGUUGCUGGCUGGCGGGGUGGCGGCUGCACGGGCUCCAGGAGAGCGGGUGAGAACAGGCAUGUCUCUUGACUGUGGAUGUCGCCAUUGCAUUAGAAAGUGUUUGCACGUGCCACUGUUUAUGGGGGCCUCAUUCCCUUUGGAGUUUUACGAUGGAGAAUGAAGUUUAACCUUUGAAUACAUCUGUA
rnacentral:lncRNA from 1 species